CAGAAAUGGGAGCUCCUUUGACGCCAAAGAAAGCAUUUCGGAUCUUCUUAUUUCUCAGUCAAGCAGUCAUCCUUUGGAGUGAAUGGAGCUCCUACUUCUU
rfam:Amborella trichopoda AMTR_V1.0_contig_41412, whole genome shotgun sequence.